GAGAAACAUGACAAGACACAUAGUAAUCAAAUUGGCAAAAAUUAAAGGCAAAGAAAAAUUAUUGAAAGCAGCAAGGGAAAAAUGACAAAUAACAUACAAGAGAACUCCCAUAAGGUUAACAGCUGAUUUCUCAGCAGAAACUCUACAAGCCAGAAGGGAGUGGCAUGAUAUACUUAAAGUGAUGAAAGGGAAGAACCUACAACCAAGAUUACUCUACCCGGCAAGGAUCUCAUUCAGAUUCGAUGGAGAAAUCAAAAGCUUUACAGACAAGCAAAAGCUAAUAGAAUUCAGCACCAUGAA